rnacentral:rRNA from 1 species
UCAAAGAUUAAGCCAUGCAUGUGUCAGUACAAACUAAACCCAAAGUGAAACCGCAAAUGGCUCAUUAAAUCAGCUAUGAUUCAUUGGAUCUGUACACCCAGUUUUCCUUGGAUAACUGUGGUAAUUCUAGAGCUAAUACAUGCACAUAUAGUCCCUAACCUCACGGGAAGGGCGCUUUUAUUAGUAUCAAAACCGGUCUGGCUUCGGUCUGUAAAACCAGUUGUGAUGACUCUGGAUAAUUUAAGCUGAGCGCACGGUCUUUGCACUGGCGCCGCUUCUUUCAAGUGUCUGCCUUAUCAGCUGUCGAUUGUAGGUUAUGUGCCUACAAUGGCUAUAACGGGUAACGGGGAAUCAGGGUUCGAUUCCGGAGAGGGAGCCUGAGAAACGGCUACCACAUCCAAGGAAGGCAGCAGGCACGCAAAUUACCCACUCCCAGCUUGGGGAGGUAGUGACGAAAAAUAACGAUGCGAGACUCAUCCGAGGCCUCGCAAUCGGAAUGAGUACACUUUAAAUCCUUUAACGAGGAUCAAUUGGAGGGCAAGUCUGGUGCCAGCAGCCGCGGUAAUUCCAGCUCCAAUAGCGUAUAUUAAAGUUGUUGCGGUUAAAAAGCUCGUAGUUGGAUUUCAGGAUUGGACUGUAGGUUCGCCGUGAGGCGUUUAAAACCUAUCAGACUCCGAAACCAGCUAUCACAACAACUUUGUGUAUGCCCACACUAGCUCACACGGGGUGUUCUUAAUUGAGUGCCCCGCGUGGCUGGUAUGUUUACUUUGAAAAAAUUAGAGUGCUCAAAGCAGGCCAAAUGAAUGGCCUGAAUGUCUAUGCAUGGAAUAAUGUAAAAGGACCUCGGUUCUAUUUUAUCCGGGCUUUUUGUGGAACCCGAGGUAAUGAUUAACGGAGAUGAAUGGGGGCAUUAGUACUGCGACGCUAGAGGUGAAAUUCUUGGACCGUCGCAAGACUAACAACAGCGAAAGCAUUUGUCAAGAUUGUUUUCAUUAAUCAAGAACGAAAGUUAGAGGUUCGAAGGCGAUCAGAUACCGCCCUAGUUCUAACCAUAAACGAUGCUGACCAGCAAUCCGCCGGUGUUAUAACCAUGACCCGGCGGGCAGCUUCCGGGAAACCAAAGUCUUUGAGUUCCGGGGGAAGUAUGGUUGCAAAGCUGAAACUUAAAGGAAUUGACGGAAGGGCACCACCAGGAGUGGAGCCUGCGGCUUAAUUUGACUCAACACGGGAAACCUCACCAGGCCCAGACACUGGAAGGAUUGACAGAAUGAGAGCUCUUUCUCGAUUCAGUGGGUGGUGGUGCAUGGCCGUUCUUAGUUGGU